GGGUGGGAAGAUAGGACUUUCAGAGUCACUCUGCUGUCAUUUGGAUUCUGAGUGUCCCCUGAAGUCCACUUGGAAAGGCUGGCUUCUGGGGCUGUGAUGUUGGGACGUGCUGUGGACUCUAAGAGUUGGGGGUCUUCUGGUUUUUCUCUCUCUCUGCUCUGGUUUUAAAUGUGACCAUUAGCUCCUGCCAUGAUGUCCCACCACUGGCCACACUUACCUGUGGCCAGCCCAGGGGGCCACCUGAUCCUGGACUCGGAAUCCCCUAAACUGUGAGCUCAUCGGACGUUCCUUUAUCGGUAGCCGGUGUCAGGUGUCGACACGUCGUGGGGCCACACAGCUGAGAAGUGCGUGCGUCCCUCUGGAGGUUCCUAGGCCCCCAACACGCGGGAUUCAUCAAGAUGACAGCCAAUGGAGGCACAGGUGACCGGGAUCCUGAUAUGAAACCGUGCGAGCGACAGUCCCUGACCUUUGUCAGCCCCGGGAAUGGAUGCUCAAGGUUUGUGUGUCACCAAAUGGCCUCCUUGGAGCACCCCUGACAGGUGGACUCACAGCUGAUGACAUGUGGUUGCCAAGGCUGGUGGUGGCCGGGAGGGAGGCCGAGAGGAAGAGGCCUUGGGGUGAACCAGAUCCCAGGGUCUGCAGG